UACGUAGGGGGCAAGCGUUGUCCGGAAUCAUUGGGCGUAAAGCGCGCGUAGGCGGCCCGGUAAGUCCGUUGUGAAAGUCAAAGGCUCAACCUUUGAACGCCGAUGGAUACUGCCGGGCUAGAGUCCGGAAGAGGCGAGUGGAAUUCCUGGUGUAGCGGUGGAAUGCGCAGAUAUCAGGAGGAACACCAAUAGCGAAGGCAGCUCGCUGGGACGGUACUGACGCUGAGGCGCGAAAGCGCGGGGAGCGAACAGG
rnacentral:rRNA from 1 species